rnacentral:rRNA from 1 species
CAGCCCCUCGAGUGGUGGGGAUGAUUAUUUGGCCUAAAGCGUCCGUAGCCGGCCGAGUAGGUCCCCCGUUAAAUCCAGCGUCUCAAGCGUUGGACUGCGGGAGAUACUACUUGGCUAGAGAGUGGGAGAGGUCAGCGGUAUUCUGGGGGUAGGGGCGAAAUCCUUUGAUCCCCGGAGGACCACCAGUGGCGAAGGCUGCUGACUAGAACACGUCUGACGGUCAGGGACGAAAGCUGGGGUAGCGAACCGGAUUAGAUACCCGAGUAGUCC